UACAGAGGGUGCGAGCGUUAAUCGGAAUUACUGGGCGUAAAGCGUGCGUAGACGGUUAUUUAAGUCGGAUGUGAAAGCCCCGGGCUCAACCUGGGAAUUGCAUUCGAGACUGAAUAGCUAGGGUGCGGUAGAGGGAAGCGGAAUUUCCGGUGUAGCGGUGAAAUGCGUAGAUAUCGGGAGGAACACCUGUGGCGAAGGCGGCUUUCUGGGCCUUACCUGACGCUGAGACGCGAAAGCGUGGGGAGCGAACCGG
rnacentral:rRNA from 1 species